rnacentral:lncRNA from 1 species
ACCUGCAAAAGAACGUGGGAGCCAUAUAUAUCAUUCAUUCAUAACAUCUCUAUGUCAUGUCAUCGUGCAACUAUAUAGAUUACUAUGUUCUUGUUGUAUCUGCCCAUAUUUGUGUUCCUAAAUUAUUCUGGUACUCUUUAAGAAUAGCACCCAAAGGUGUGGGUGCUCUUAAAUUAUUCUAGUACUCUAAGAAUAUAUUGGAAAGUCACUAUUUACGUUGAUUCUUUGAAUCAUGUUACACAGGAAUUCAAUCAAUAAUGCAGAUGAAGACUACUCAAGCUGCACUUGUGUAUACUUUUUAUUUUUAUGUACCUCAUUAAAUUUGUUUCAUUUGAGAAAGAGAAAAUUUGGAUAAUAGAAAAUUAUAAGUAUGAGUUGAAAUCCUCUUUACUUUAUGAACAAAAUGAAUAUCUUUGUUACUACGA